AACGAACGCUGGCGGCAGGCUUAACACAUGCAAGUCGAGCGCCCCGCAAGGGGAGCGGCAGACGGGUGAGUAACGCGUGGGAAUCUACCCAUCUCUACGGAAUAGCGCAUGGAAACGUGUGCUAAUACCGUAUACGUCCUUCGGGAGAAAGAUUUAUCGGAGAUGGAUGAGCCCGCGUUGGAUUAGGUAGUUGGUGGGGUAAAGGCCUACCAAGGCGACGAUCCAUAGCUGGUCUGAGAGGAUGAUCAGCCACACUGGGACUGAGACACGGCCCAGACUCCUACGGGAGGCAGCAGUGGGGAAUAUUGGAUAAUGGGCGCAAGCCUGAUCCAGCCAUGCCGCGUGAGUGAUGAAGGCCCUAGGGUUGUAAAGCUCUUUCACCGGUGAAGAUAAUGACGGUAACCGGAGAAGAAGCCCCGGCUAACUUCGUGCCAGCCGCCGCUGUAACAC
rnacentral:rRNA from 1 species